GCCCCCGUAGCUCAGGGGAUAGAGCAACGGCGUCCGGAGCCGUGUGCGCAGGUUCGAAUCCUGCCGGGGGCA
rnacentral:tRNA from 1 species